rnacentral:rRNA from 1 species
UACAGAGGGUGCGAGCGUUAAUCGGAAUUACUGGGCGUAAAGCGUGCGUAGACGGUUAUUUAAGUCGGGUGUGAAAGCCCCGGGCUCAACCUGGGAAUUGCAUUCGAGACUGAAUAGCUAGGGUACGGUAGAGGGAAGUGGAAUUUCCGGUGUAGCGGUGAAAUGUGUAGAGAUCGGGAGGAACACCGGUGGCGAAGGCGGGUCUCUGGGCAUCUCCUGACGCUGAGGCGCGAAAGCGUGGGGAGCAAACGGG